rnacentral:rRNA from 1 species
CCUACGGGUGACAGCAGUGGGGAAUAUUGGGCAAUGGGCGCAAGCCUGACCCAGCAACGCCGCGUGAAGGAAGAAGGCUCUCGGGUUGUAAACUUCUUUUAUCAGGGACGAAGCAAGUGACGGUACCUGAUGAAUAAGCCACGGCUAACUACGCGCCAGCAGCCGCGGUAAUACGUAGGGGGCAAGCGUUAUCCGGAUUUACGGGGUGUAAAGGGCGUGUAGGCGGGAAAGCAAGUCAGAUGUGAAAACCAUGGGCUCAACCUGUGACCUGCAUUUGAAACUGUUUUUCUUGAGUACUGGAGAGGCAGGCGGAAUGCCUAGUGUAGCGGUGAAAUGCGUAGAUAUUAGGAGGAACACCAGUGGCGAAGGCGGUCUGCUGGACAGCAACUGACGCUGAGGCGCGAAAGCGUGGGGAGCAAACAGGAUUAGAUACCCGGGUAGUC